GAUGAACGCUGGCGGCGUGCCUAAUACAUGCCAGUCGAGCGAACGGACGAGAAGCUUGCUUCUCUGAUGUUAGCGGCGGACGGGUGAGUAACACGUGGAUAACCUACCUAUAAGACUGGGAUAACUUCGGGAAACCGUAGCUAAUACCGGAUAAUAUUUUGAACCGCAUGGUUCAAAAGUGAAAGACGGUCUUGCUGUCACUUAUAGAUGGAUCCGCGCUGCAUUAGCUAGUUGGUAAGGUAACGGCUUACCAAGGCAACGAUGCAUAGCCGACCUGUGAGGGUGAUAGGCCACACUGGAACUGAGACACGGUCCAGACUCCUACGGGAGGCAGCAGUAGGGAAUCUUCCGCAAUGGGCGAAAGCCUGACGGAGCAACGCCGCGUGAGUGAUGAAGGUCUUCGGAUCGUAAAACUCUGUUAUUAGGGAAGAACAUAUGUGUAAGUAACUGUGCACAUCUUGACGGUACCUAAUCAGAAAGCCACGGCUAACUACGUG
rnacentral:rRNA from 1 species